CAUUAAUUGAGGGAUGCCAUUGUAAUUCAGUUUUAAAAAUUAAAUAAAGAUGGCAGUAGAAGUUGGUAAUAGGAGUAAUUUUCGGUGAAGUGUCCGAGAAUUUUCCUAAGACGGUGGUUUUCGUAUUUGUUUUUCUUGGAUCAACCUGUUCGGAUGAUGGCGGUUGGUGAACCAAAUUGGUACGACUGUGAAAUGAUCAGGAGACCCAAUUUCACAAGCAAACACAAACCAAAUCUUCUGUAACUUACAAGAUCGACAAGCUAGUAGCAGCCGCCAAAAUUGAACAACACACGGAGGAUUCAAGAUUCAAGAAUCAAUCGAGAGAGAGAGAGAGAGAGAGAGAGUUUUGGGUGUCUCCCAAUCGGACCCAAUACAAAGAAAUAAAAGAAUCAAAUUCACAAUGGUGUUCAACAGCGUGGUGGUAUUAUCAGUGGCGAACAUAUCAGCAGAUGCUUGGCAAUACUUGGCUUGCUUUCCGGAGCGGUUAAGCGGCCACCAGUUGCUGGAUCUGCUCUGUUGUUUCCCUCUCCAACACUUUGGGCGUUUCGCCCUCUGUCUUUGGACCUUCUUUUGCCUCCCUCCUUCCCCUCCUCUUUACUACCCUUCCUCCUCUUACUCCCACUUCGAUUCCGAUUCCUAUUCCUAUUCUGAUUCUUCUUCCCCCACCCCGUAUUACCACCACGACGACUACUAUCCGCAUUCGGAUUGAUCGGCCUGAUCCUCGAAUGUUAACUGUGGAGUACAUUUCAAUCCAAUUCUUGUUUGGCUUUUCCUUACUGAAAUUAAUGUGAAUGAAGUUCAUGACCUGAAGAUUAUAUGUGUUAAUAACAAUGUCAUGUACAGAUUUGUUGUUGAUUGUGUGAAUGAUUUUAAGAUACUGCUUAAUUCAUUGGAAUGACAGCUAUAAUGGCAAAUGGAAAAUGGGUAUGUGGUGAUCAUUGCAAAUGCUUUUGAAGCAAUGGAAAGUAAUGGUUAUCCCGGGGAUUACGGAGAAACAUAGCUGCGGUUAAGGUCAUAGAGAUCCAAGUUGUACACCUUCUGUUGACCUAGAAUGGUAACCAUGAACAACCACAUUGUCAGCCUACUCUUUCAAUAUGCAUAUUGACUUACGAACUAACUGCAUGACGCUAUGUAUUUUGUUUUCCAUAGCUUUGCAAGUGUUAUGAAGUUACAAGUCAUGUAUCUUGUAAACAUUGGCCAUUUGUGCAUGUAUCAGCCAUUGAAUUGCAAAAGUUUGUAACUGUAAUUUUAGCUUAGUUGAGUUCCACUGAAGUUUUCCUGUAGUUGAAGAGCGAGGCUCAAUCUAAAGCUUCAUCAUUAUGACCAACGUCAAGAAAGGUAAGACAAUCAUGCAUUCGAUUAGCUUAGCACGCUGACUGAUUUUAUCUAGUAUUUAUCGUGGUCGGGGUUUAGCUUGGUUGAAAGGAAGGUGUUCCUUUCAAGCAUUUCUAUGGUUGACGCUCGGCCGUAGUUACUUAUUCAACUUCUAUAAUCACUGAAUUUUCGGUUGCUUCUCCUAGAUAUUAAAGCAUAUGAGUCUUCAUGUUUCUUUCCACAGUGGUGACAAAGUAUUACCAUUACCUUGGUUGUGAAGCUAGUCUUUUUGGCUUCUAUCAAAGUGCUACGUUGGUUUGUUAGCAUCCUUCUUGGUGGUUUCAGUUUACUCGUUCAAUGCAUCUUUUUUUGGCUCAACUUAGACCCAAGAUUGCCUGACACAGUGGAGGGCUGCCUGUACAUGUACACUGCAAUUUUUCUUACUUUUUGGUGGCCUGGAAGAGGCAUAGAGGAUAUUAAAGUGGUUGUUGACCUAAGCACAUACAGGAUGUUGCUGUUCAGUUGCUUCUCAGAUCAAUCGGGGUGAAAGAAGUUCCUUUUUUAGCAUGAUCAAUUGGAGCAAAACCUGUUUGAAGAUCAAUUCUUUGUUUAAUGUUGCUGCCGAAUCUGACAAAGCGUUACAGCUGAUGUUUUUGAUGCUGAGAAAGUUGAUUUUUCUCAACAGAUUUUACGUUUAAGUCCAAGAGAAAGCGUCUUUCUUCAUUGCUUGCAGUCAGUAUCUACUUUAACGUUUAUCCAAUGCCUGUAAAUUGUUCUCACAGUAGAUGUCUUUAAGGAAACUCAGCCUUAUGAAGUGUUUCCA